rnacentral:rRNA from 1 species
AUACAACGAAGAGUUUGAUCCUGGCUCAGGAUGAACGCUAGCGACAGGCCUAACACAUGCAAGUCGAGGGGCAUCGGGGAGCGAAGCUUGCUUUGCUCCGCCGGCGACCGGCGCACGGGUGAGUAACGCGUAUGCAACCUGCCCGUUUCAGCGGGAUAACCCGGAGAAAUCCGGCCUAAUACCGCAUGUGGCCGAGGGGAGGCAUCUUCUUUCGGCCAAAGGAGGCGACUCCGGAGACGGAUGGGCAUGCGUGACAUUAGCUUGUUGGCGGGGUAACGGCCCACCAAGGCGACGAUGUCUAGGGGUUCUGAGAGGAAGGUCCCCCACACUGGUACUGAGACACGGACCAGACUCCUACGGGAGGCAGCAGUGAGGAAUAUUGGUCAAUGGGCGAGAGCCUGAACCAGCCAAGUCGCGUGAAGGAUGACGGCCCUACGGGUUGUAAACUUCUUUUGUCAGGGAGCAAUUGGGUCCACGCGUGGGCUUAGCGAGAGUACCUGAAGAAAAAGCAUCGGCUAACUCCGUGCCAGCAGCCGCGGUAAUACGGAGGAUGCGAGCGUUAUCCGGAUUUAUUGGGUUUAAAGGGUGCGUAGGCGGAAUAUCAAGUCAGCGGUAAAAAUUCGGGGCUCAACCCCGUCGUGCCGUUGAAACUGAUGUUCUUGAGUGGGCGAGAAGUAUGCGGAAUGCGUGGUGUAGCGGUGAAAUGCAUAGAUAUCACGCAGAACUCCGAUUGCGAAGGCAGCAUACCGGCGCCCAACUGACGCUGAAGCACGAAAGCGUGGGUAUCGAACAGGAUUAGAUACCCUGGUAGUCCACGCAGUAAACGAUGAAUGCUAAUUGUCCGGAGGGAUUGACCUCUGGGUGAUACAGCGAAAGCGUUAAGCAUUCCACCUGGGGAGUACGCCGGCAACGGUGAAACUCAAAGGAAUUGACGGGGGCCCGCACAAGCGGAGGAACAUGUGGUUUAAUUCGAUGAUACGCGAGGAACCUUACCCGGGCUCAAACGCAGGAGGAAUACAUUUGAAAGGGUGUAGCUCUACGGAGUCUUCUGCGAGGUGCUGCAUGGUUGUCGUCAGCUCGUGCCGUGAGGUGUCGGCUUAAGUGCCAUAACGAGCGCAACCCCUAUCGACAGUUGCCAACAGGUGAAGCUGGGAACUCUGUCGAGACUGCCGGCGCAAGCUGAGAGGAAGGCGGGGAUGACGUCAAAUCAGCACGGCCCUUACGUCCGGGGCGACACACGUGUUACAAUGGCGGCCACAGCGGGAAGCCAGGCGGCGACGCCGAGCGGAACCCGAAAAGCCGUCUCAGUUCGGAUUGGAGUCUGCAACCCGACUCCAUGAAGCUGGAUUCGCUAGUAAUCGCGCAUCAGCCACGGCGCGGUGAAUACGUUCCCGGGCCUUGUACACACCGCCCGUCAAGCCAUGGGAGCCGGGAGUGCCUGAAGUACGUGACCGCAAGGAGCGUCCUAGGGUAAGACCGGUGACUGGGGCUAAGUCGUAACAAGGUAGCCGUACCGGAAGGUGCGGCUGGAACACCUCCUUUCUGGAGC